CUGUAUUCACGUAAGUGAUCUUCAUUGAGACCAAUAGAACAACCCAUCUGAGACCACUUCAAAUUGUGAAGAACGUGAGCUAAAUAAAUGGCUGUUUCAAGCCACUAGGUUUUGGGGUUGUUACAAAGCAAUAGUUUCUGAGUCUGGAAUUCUGGAACAGCCUGAGUGGAUGGUUCUGGCUCAGGUCCUCUCAUAAGGUUAUGUAGACCAAGACUUCAGUCGUCUCAAGACUCAACCAAGGCUGAAGAAUCAGCAUCUAAGUUCACUCAAGUUCUUAUUGAGACCUUUUGGACCAACUGCAUGUCCUUCAUAAUUUUGUAGAACGCGGAAGGAGGACAUCUAAUACAAUUUUCUGUUGACAUCUCUGUCCAAUACUUAGAGAUGAAGAAAAUGAGCAUUUGAAAGAACACGAAGCAUUUCAAAAUCCACAUUGUGGUUAAAAGAAAAGAUGGGUCCUUCAACAUUAUUGGAGAAUUCACUGAAGUAAGACAUGACAGUGCUGGGAGAAUUAAGACACAUGCACAUCUGCUAGUCAUCAUUCUUAACUGUUCAGGAAGGCAAGAGAAGUGUCUUCUUUGUGCUUCAAACCUCACCUUUAAUAAAACCUGAGAAAAUCUAUGGAUAUCCAAUAACGACAAGAGAAAGAGAAAGAGGUGAGGAAAAGGAAGAAAAUAGAAGGCAAUGUCAAAGACAAAUCAGUAAGGAGAUUGAUUUUAUUCAGGCUAUUGAAAUAGAGACAUCCAAACACCAGUGUCUAAACUGUGGAGUUUUACCCUAGACUUUUAAAGGGAGGAGUAAAGUUCAAGGUAGAGUGAUCUACACUUGGUUUUUUGUUCUGUUUUCUUUUCAAUCAAGGAAGUCUCAGUCAGUUAGCUAAAAUGGAAAUGUUUAUCCUUGUGUCUAGCUAGUUUCGCAGGAGACAAACAGUUCUAAUUUCAGCUAAUCAUUCAUGAGACAAGGAAUGGGAAGGAGGAGGGUCUAUGUCUGGUUUAGUCAGCAGGUUCAGGCUAAAGGGGAAAGAGUCUGUUUGGGACCUGUCACAGGUACACAAGGGAGUCAUCUGCAAAUCUUAGAGGGGUCAUGAGAAAGGAUAGACGGAAGGUUUUAUCUAUUUCACAUGAGUAGUUAAGGUAAACUUUUUCCAAUGACACGAAAAGGGCGAUUCUGGAUAACAAAACCUUGGGGAGAUGUCUUAACCAUCAUUGUUUUCCAGAGCUCAGGUACGGUUCACCAGUAGCAGAGGGGCAAGAAAAAAGCCAGAGCUUUUUUUAGGAACAUUACAUUUUUUCUGUAUAUUAAAUUUGCUGAGUUAAAUUCAUUUUUUACAAACUAAAGCUUUUUCUUCAAGUGUUUUCUCAAAUAUGCACAUCUCUAUUAACGUCUUCAAUUUAACUUAAAAAUUUUAAUUUUAAUUUGAUGUUUGGUUUCUUAUUCAUAUUUUGUAUAUAAAUCCAUUACAUUAUCCUAGAAUCAAUAAUAAACUAAAAGCAUCAUGAUUUCACCUGUUUAGUUUCUUAACAUUCUUUUCCACAUGCAAUUUAAUUUACUAUGUAUAUUUUUUAAUUAAGCUAAAUUAAACCUUUUAGACAUGGAAAAUUUUAUCAAUCAUAUAGCCCAACACCUUCAUUUGUUCAAAUAAACAACUUUAGUCCCAUAGAGUUUUCCCAAACUUAUACAAUUAGCUGUUUUGAUUGCCAGGACCAGAACUCAGGUUGCCUGACUCCUACUGUAAUUCUCACUGCAUUGCAACACACUCAUAGUCCCAUUUUAGAAAUGAAUGCCAAUAUUCUCUUAACAUGACCAUUAGAACAGAUUAAAAUUAGAACAGGCAAGUGUAAACACUAAAAAAAAAUUAAAAAAAAGCUAUUUGUGGUUAAAGGACUUAAAAGGAAAACCAAACAAGCAGCAACACUACUGAAAACAUGCAAAAAAGAAAAAAAAAAUACAACUAAAGUUUGCAGUUUAUAAAAACAAAGUGACAAAAUAAGAUCAAGCUGAAAGUUUUAUCAUUCUUUUCUUUUUUUAAAGCUUAUUCAUUUAUUUUGAGAGAGAGAGGGAGCACAAGCAGGGGAGGGGCAGAGAGAGAGAGGGAGAAGCAGAAUCCCAUGCUGACAGCAUGGAGCUGGUGUGGGACUUGAACUCAUGAACUGUGAGAUCAUGACCAGAGUUAAAAUCAUGUUUAACUGACUGAGCCACCCAGGCAACCAUUCUUAACAGAUUAAUACCAGAUUCAAUUUCCUAAAUGCUUGUUUUUAAAGUUGUUACAAGCCAGCCUAACACUGAUAAUUGCUCACCAAGAGUAACAGAAGGAUAUGAAUCUCAGAGGAAGUUGCGUCCACAUGAAUUGGAAAGCAGCUAGAGCUGAGCCAGUUCUCCUAACUGCUCUUGUGUACCUAAUGCAGAUUUAUUUUAGCGUCAAAUAAAGGAAGUGCAAGGGUGUUCUUGGCACAUCAAUUUUGGCUCAAGGGCAGCUUCUGGGUAGUUUCCUAAAGCUGAGACUC